rnacentral:rRNA from 1 species
GACGUAGGGCGCAAGCGUUGUCCGGAUUUAUUGGGCGUAAAGAGCUCGUAGACGGCUCGUUGCGUCGGCUGUGAAAACCCGCAGCUCAACUGUGGGCUUGCAGCCGAUACGGGCGGGCUGGAGUUCGGUAGGGGAGACUGGAAUUCCUGGUGUAGCGGUGAAAUGCGCAGAUAUCAAGAGGAACACCGGUGGCGAAGGCGGCAUCCUGGACCGGUAUUGACGCUGAGGCGCGAAAGCUAGGGGAGCAAACGGG